rnacentral:rRNA from 1 species
AAUAGAUACCCAGGCAGUCCACGCCGUAAACGAUGAGUGCUAAGUGUUAGAGGGUUUCCGCCCUUUAGUGCUGCAGCAAACGCAUUAAGCACUCCGCCUGGGGAGUACGGCCGCAAGGCUGAAACUCAAAGGAAUUGACGGGGGCCCGCACAAGCGGUGGAGCAUGUGGUUUAAUUCGAAGCAACGCGAAGAACCUUACCAGGUCUUGACAUCCUCUGCCACUCCUAGAGAUAGGACGUUCCCCUUCGGGGGACAGAGUGACAGGUGGUGCAUGGUUGUCGUCAGCUCGUGUCGUGAGAUGUUGGGUUAAGUCCCGCAACGAGCGCAACCCUUGAUCUUAGUUGCCAGCAUUCAGUUGGGCACUCUAAGGUGACUGCCGGUGACAAACCGGAGGAAGGUGGGGAUGACGUCAAAUCAUCAUGCCCCUUAUGACCUGGGCUACACACGUGCUACAAUGGAUGGUACAAAGGGUCGCGAAACCGCGAGGUCGAGCCAAUCCCACAAAACCAUUCUCAGUUCGGAUUGCAGG